GUGGGGAAUAUUGGACAAUGGGCGAAAGCCUGAUCCAGCCAUGCCGCGUGUGUGAAGAAGGUCUUCGGAUUGUAAAGCACUUUAAGUUGGGAGGAAGGGCAGUAAGUUAAUACCUUGCUGUUUUGACGUUACCGACAGAAUAAGCACCGGCUAACUUCGUGCCAGCAGCCGCGGUAAUACGAAGGGUGCAAGCGUUAAUCGGAAUUACUGGGCGUAAAGCGCGCGUAGGUGGUUUUGUAAGUUGGAGGUGAAAUCCCCGGGCUCAACCUGGGAACUGCCUCCAGAACUGCAUGACUAGAGUACGGUAGAGGGUAGUGGAAUUUCCUGUGUAGCGGUGAAAUGCGUAGAUAUAGGAAGGAACACCAGUGGCGAAGGCGACUACCUGGACUGAUACUGACACUGAGGUGCGAAAGCGUGGGGAGCAAACAGGAUUAGAUACUCUAGUAGUCC
rnacentral:rRNA from 1 species